rnacentral:rRNA from 1 species
CGCGAAUCGCCCUUCGGGGUGCACCAGGCGCGAAAACUUUACAAUGCGGGAAACCGUGAUAAGGGGACACCGAGUGCCAGCAUCACAUGCUGGCUGUCCAGGUGUGUAAAAUACACCUGUUAGCAAGGGCCGGGCAAGACCGGUGCCAGCCGCCGCGGUAACACCGGCGGCCCGAGUGGUGAUCGUGAUUAUUGGGUCUAAAGGGUCCGUAGCCGGUUUGGUCAGUCCUCCGGGAAAUCUGACGGCUCAACCGUUAGGCUUUCGGGGGAUACUGCCAGGCUUGGAACCGGGAGAGGUAAGAGGUACUACAGGGGUAGGAGUGAAAUCUUGUAAUCCCUGUGAGACCACCUGUGGCGAAGGCGUCUUACCAGAACGGGUUCGACGGUGAGGGACGAAAGCUGGGGGCACGAACCGGAUUAGAUACCCGGGUAGUCCCAGCCGUAAACGAUGCUUGCUAGGUGUCAGGCAUGGCGCGACCGUGUCUGGUGCCGCAGGGAAGCCGUGAAGCGAGCCACCUGGGAAGUACGGCCGCAAGGCUGAAACUUAAAGGAAUUGGCGGGGGAGCAC